UAGGGAAUUUUGCGCAAUGGGCGAAAGCCUGACGCAGCAACGCCGCGUGAUUGAUGAAGCCCUUCGGGGUGUAAAGAUCUGUCAGUGGGGACGAAACUUGACGGUACCCACAGAGGAAGNACCGGCUAACUCCGUGCCAGCAGCCGCGGUAAUACGGAGGAUGCGAGCGUUAUCCGGAUUUAUUGGGUUUAAAGGGUGCGUAGGCGGGCCGGUAAGUCAGCGGUAAAAUAGCGGGGCUCAACCCCGUCGAGCCGUUGAAACUGCCGGUCUUGAGUGGGCGAGAAGUGCGCGGAAUGCGUGGUGUAGCGGUGAAAUGCAUAGAUAUCACGCAGAACCCCGAUUGCGAAGGCAGCGCACCGGCGCCCAACUGACGCUGAAGCACGAAAGCGUGGGGAUCGAACAGG
rnacentral:rRNA from 1 species